GGAAGGACUAGGCUACUUUUAGAUUUACACUUUAUCCCUCCAUAGUAUUUCCUCCAUAGUAUUUGCUUUACAUGCGUGGUUUAAUAGUUUAAAAUAUUUUCCUUUUCAAUCAUGAACAUAAUUAUAAAGACAUCGUAUGUAAGCAUCCAUGCGUAAAGAUCAACCCGUACAGACUUGUUUGAAUUAAUGUGUUGCGCCAUUCGGAGAUGUGCUUAGCCUACUCUGUAAUUUAACCAGUUUCUGUUUCUACUGUGUGCAUAAGGGCCCAAAGUGGCAUUUGUAUUUAUACCGUGCAUCAAUUAUAUUUUGUGCACACAUCCAGAUACUCAGCUCGUUUGUGUGAUUACUUUUUUUAGGGACGGGAGAGAUUCUCUGAUUAUUUAUUUGAAUGGUGGUGGACAGGUCGCGGUUAUCCGGACAGGAGCCUAUUACGCCCUGUCUUAAAUCGCUGGAUAACAAAGUUGUCCUUCCUCUGUGUGACUGUGAGUGAGUUGGCUCAGCCCCUCCCUCAGCCCUUCCUCACACAUCUUUGGUUGAUACUGCGUGUCUGAUUGACAGGAACAACCAGUCUUACUAUCCUUCUCUUCCUUUUCAAUCACUUCCUCCUCCUCCUCUUCUACUCCUUCCAUCCCCUCAUCCAUCUCUCUCCUCUUCCACCACACACAUCCCUCCCCUCUCCUGUAGUACCUCAUUCGCCUCCCCCCCUCUGCAGUGAUGGCGGCAUGUCUCCUCUUUUUCUUUCUUCUCAACUACCACUUUAAUUCCUUGCCUCUCCUCCUCUUCCUCGACCUCUGUAAGCUCCGUUUCCAGUUUUCUCAGCUCCAGGGGGUCUCAGGCUGUGCAGGCAAGGGCCUGGAUCGGGGCAGAGGGGGCAGACUGGCCUGAGGAAGAGAGAGGGUCCGGGAUGGGACAGAGGGAGUCCAUGGAGGUGUGAAGAAGGGGGUUUGGGGAGGGGAAGGGGCCUGAGAGGACAUGGAGAGGGGAAUUUUAGGCUCCACACAAGAUGGUUGUUGCGGAUGGAUGGAAUUAGAGGAUUUGGAAGAAGAGCUGGGAGAGACCAUUGUUGGACUACGGGGGUGACUGGGUUUCUGGCUGAAAGAACAGACCAUUGUUGGGCUAUGGGGGAAGGUGGGAGUGGAGGGUUCUGACUUCCUGAAUAUGAAAGAGUUGUCUGUUAGGGUCCGUUGGUAUCGUCUGAAUGUAGGCCUCACUACGAAGAGAAUGAAAAAUACACAAAUAUACACAUCAGGUAGAAUACAUUUGCAUUAAAAUAACAUGAAGGCCUAAACAUGGAUACAAACAAAGAAAGUGGAUGGAAUAUUGCUGGAAAUACCAAUAAAGAGAAUAGUAUGCAUGAUAUUCAAUAACAGCAUAUUGUAUCUUGAGAUCAAUAAACACACUCAUGCGCACACCCGCACACACACACACACACACACACA
rnacentral:lncRNA from 1 species